rnacentral:rRNA from 1 species
UUCCGGUUGAUCCUGCCGGACCUGACUGCUAUCGGAUUGAUACUAAGCCAUGCGAGUCAUUGUAGUAAUACAAGGCAGACGGCUCAGUAACGCGUAGUCAACCUACCCUAUGGACGGGAAUAACCUCGGGAAACUGAGUAUAAUGCCCGAUAGAACAUUAUACCUGGAAUGGUUUAUGUUCCAAAUGAUUUAUCGCCAUAGGAUGGGACUGCGGCCUAUCAGUUUGUUGGUGAGGUAAUGGCCCACCAAGACUAUUACAGGUACGGGCUCUGAGAGGAGUGGCCCGGAGAUGGGUACUGAGACACGGACCCAGGCCCUAUGGGGCGCAGCAGGCGAGAAAACUUUGCAAUGUGCGAAAGCACGACAAGGUUAAUCCGAGUGGUUUCUGCUAAAGGAACCUUUUGUCAGUCCUAGAAACACUAACGAAUAAGGGGUGGGCAAGUUCUGGUGUCAGCCGCCGCGGUAAAACCAGCACCUCAAGUGGUCAGGAUGAUUAUUGGGCCUAAAGCAUCCGUAGCCGGCUCUAUAAGUUUUCGGUUAAAUCUGUACGCUUAACGUACAGGCUGCCGGGAAUACUGCAGAGCUAGGGAGUGGGAGAGGUAGACGGUACUCGGUAGGAAGGGGUAAAAUCCUUUGAUCUAUUGAUGACCACCUGUGGCGAAGGCGGUCUACCAGAACACGUCCGACGGUGAGGGAUGAAAGCUGGGGGAGCAAACCGGAUUAGAUACCCGGGUAGUCCCAGCUGUAAACUAUGCAAACUCAGUGAUGCAUUGGCUUGUGGCCAAUGCAGUGCUGCAGGAAAGCCGUUAAGUUUGCCGCCUGGGAAGUACGUACGCAAGUAUGAACUUAAAGGAAUUGGCGGGGGAGCACCACAGGGUGAAGCCUGCGUUCAUUGGAUUCAACGCGGAA